rnacentral:rRNA from 1 species
GACGAACGCUGGCGGCGUGCUUAACACAUGCAAGUCGAACGGAAAGGCCCUGCUUGCAGGGUACUCGAGUGGCGAACGGGUGGGUAACACGUGGGUGCACUGCACUGCACUUCUGGAUAAGCCUGAGAAACUGGAACUAAUCCCGGAUAGGAGACAUUUUUAGCGUGAUGGAUGGAAAGAUUUUUCGGUGUUGGAUGAGUUCGCGGCCUAAUGGCUUGUUGGUUGGGUAAUGGCCUACAAACGCGGCGACGGGUCGCCGGCCUGAGGGGGUGGACGGCUACAUUGGGUCUGAGAGGCGGCCCAGACGCCGACGAUAGGCAGCAGUGGGGAAGAUUGCACAAGGGGCGCAAGCCUGAUGCAGCGAGGCCGCGUGUUGUAUGACGGCCUUCGUGUUGUAAACACCUUGCGCGAUGGACGAAGCUUUUUGUGACGGUACCUAAAGAAUAAGCACCGGCUAACUACGUG